rnacentral:lncRNA from 1 species
AGAUUAAUUUUCAAUCUUUUGUGGAGUGGUUUCUAAAUUUUAUUUUAUUUUUUUACUUUACAUUGCUCCCCUAUGAAAAUAUUAGUAUAAAAGCUGAUGAACAUUUUCUGGCCCUUAUAGUACGUAUCCACAUUUAGGCCCUCAAGCAGUGCUCAGCUGGGUUAGCGUCCUCACUGUUAUGCUGACACAGAAAGGGUGGUCUGCAUUAUUCUAUUCUCUCUUCUAGCCAUUCAGAUCCGUACUGUAAAUUCUUUCCUCUGUUAGCCCCACCAUUGUCCUCAUCUAAGUUAAAUGUCCGCUCAUUCUGGAAGGAGACUUUUGAGGCUGUUUUGAAGGUGAGGAGACCUGAAAUCUGAUUGCCAAUGGUUGAAUGGUCCGAUUGGAAACCACAUUGGCCCCAACAGUCAGCAGACUGUGGAAGGGGACAUGCAUGGAGAGGCUGGGGUCUGAUCAGUCAGGCAAGGCAGGCUCGAUCCUAGUCCUGAGGGGCCGCGGGGAUGACUAGCGAGGUGGAAGUCUAGCAAGAACUGAGUGUAGUUACAGCCUUUCUUCUUGAAAAUUUGGGUCUUUCCUUUUUUGCAGCCUUUGGGAAAGGACCAUUUAGCCUUAUCGGGUCCUAAAUGAUUAACCCAGAUUAUUGUCCUCAGGAGAGAAGACCUCAGCUCCAUUAUUCAGAAGUAGUCAUUAUUUGUGAUGGGCGAUGCUAUAAAUUUAGUUGCCAGACAUUUGCGGAGGUGAUUACCUGUGGAUUAAGGUUCCUAAACCUGUAUGUGAUUUUCUUCAUCAAAGUCUAAUAUUUUUAAGCCCCCAACCAAUUCCAAGAGCAGAAACAAAGAUUACUAUGUCCCAGGACUUGCAGUUGCUUAACUAACAAUUUGUGCAUGUGAUUUAUAGCCUCAUUUGGAAUUUUUAUAGUACCCUACCUAAACUGGUGGUUUUUAUAAAAUUGAGUUUUAAUUCUACCAUUUACGAAAUUCUGAAAAAAAUGCAGAAGUGUUGGAUUUGGGAAUUAUCUGCACAAAGUCUGGCAUGACAUAUUCCUCCNNNNNNNNNNNNNNNNNNNNNNNNNNNNNNNNNNNNNNNNNNNNAGAAAAACUAUUCUGAAGCUUGAGCUUGGUGUCACAUAUAUCCCAUUUUAAAAGAUAUUUAAUAGUAAGCAAGUACUUGUCUAUCACUAGAAUCAUUCCAGUUUCAUAUUUCUUUUUUGUUGUUGUUUUUCUGGAAAUAGUUCAGACUUAUUUGAAAAAAAUCUGGUAUAACGAUGCUAAC